rnacentral:misc_RNA from 1 species
CCCCUUCUUUCUCUCUCAUACUAGCAGUGGCAAUAGUAGUAGGAACUAGCAAGGAAUGGAGCGGAGGAAAGCAGCAGGUGACAUGAAGCGAAGCGAGUCAGAGCUGGCCCUCCAAGAGGUUAUCAAGAAGACCACCCAAAUUAGAGGUGAAGAAAUGAAGGAAAAUCGUGACAACUCUUUUUCUGCUGAGCUCGACAGCUUCUUUGGCGAUGAUCUCUCUUUCUCCUUCAAAACUCUGGUUUGGAUUCUUUACAUUUAGAUACUUGUGUUUUAAUUUUUAUUUAUUAACACUUGUUGAAAAGCUUUGGACAAUCAUGCUGACCUGUACCCACAAUCCCAUCCAUUGAAACUAAUUAUUUUAUAUAAAUUAAUGUUACUUUAGAAUUUAUUGUUAUGAGAAUUCAGGAAUACCUUACUAAGCCAACCAUUCAUUCAAAUGCUUAAUUUCCUGCCCUGCGCCUGAUCUUAGUCCAAAGAUGAAAUUCUUAAUCCGGAGAGAUUUUAAAUAACGUGAAAGAAAGUAGAGUUAAAACAAGAUGUAUAAUUUUUUAAUAUUAAUAUAAAAUUAAUCUCAAAUAGAAUUAAAUGAUGGAAAAAAAAAAUUGUAUAACCAAUCUUAUUCAAUCUGAAAUUAAGUUUUAAUUGUUGUUGUUAAUGUUUGUGGCAAGAUCAACUGUAUUUUAUAUGUUUCUGAGUUUAUCUAUUUACUUUUGACAAAUAUUUUAAUGCUUAUUUUCAAGAUUAUGAUGGUAAAGAAAUACUUCAUUUUAUUCUAUAUCUUUAUAAGAAGAGGACAUUUAGUCUCAAAUUUGAGUCCUUAUCGAAGCAAAAUGCUUAAUUUCCAAGUCCCAUCUUCUUAAUAGAUGCAUGUAUGCAGGACGCGAUGAAUGGUUUUUCAAGUUGUGGACUCCCAGAAUCAUUUGUUGUGUGGUCUCAAAACAUCAGCCCCAAGCAAUCCAGCAUUUCAUCAGCACCCAUUGAUGCUCAGUCAUCAGUUUGUGGUAUGUUCUUCAAUCAGAGUGUCUGUCUAAAUGAAGGAAUUGUCUUGUUUCGUUUCUCAGUAACAUUCAAAUAACUUCAAAUUUGAGCAGUUAGCAGUCCAUUGUCGGCCAAUAAUAAACCAAACCAAACAAGAGUAAGUAGCAGUGGUUCCUCAGACGAUGAUGAUGCAGAGACAGAAGCCGGUCCUUGUGAACAGAGCAACAAUUCCAAUCCCAUUGAUUUAAGACGCAUUAGAAGGUACUCUCAGUCACUCUCUCUCAACUCUCACCUAUGCAUAAGCAAGCCAAUAUGAUAUCGUGAUUCUGGCCUUUAGGAUGGUUUCAAACCGGGAGUCAGCUAGACGAUCAAGAAAAAGAAAACAAGCACAUUUGCACGAGCUUGAAUCGCAGGUAUAAAAUUUAAUAUUUAUUAGUAAAUUGGAUAGGAAAAUUCUAGACCUGUGUACCUGUGUUUGUGUCUUGGUAAGAUUUUUUCCAUUGGAUACAUAUUUAGAGAAAGCAAUGUCACAGGUUGCUUCAUGGGUUUCAGGUUGAACAACUCACAGGAGAUAAUGCGUCUUUGUACAAGCAGCUUUCAGAUGCUUCUCAUCAAUAUCGUGAUGCUCAUACAAAUAACCGAGUUCUUAAAUCAGACGUUGAGGCUUUGAGAGCCAAGGUGAAGCUAGCUGAAGAUAUGGUUACUCGAGGUUCCUUAACCUCUAGCUUGAAUCAACUUGUUCAUCAAAAUCAUCUAACGUCACCUCAACCACUCAAUAACCAUAAUCUGCGAGUCUCACCAACCAUCACAAUUAAUGGAGAUGAUGCCUCGUAUGCUGUUGGAGUUGGAAAUGCCGAUAUUAGUAAUGGCAAUCUCAGGAGCAGUGUCAUGAGUGAUGCUGUAAGCUGUGUGUCGGAGCUUUGGCCUUGAGAAUGAGAGAAUAUCAAUAUCGGAUUGCCUUUCCACUGUAAAAUUAGGUGUAUGUGUCUUCUUAUGUCUUAGGUUGUUUCCUGUCAUCCUCACUUGUGGUAAUGUUGUUGUCUGUACAAUAUAUAGUUGUUUUCUGCUUAUAAGUACAAUAAUUAAUGGAUUUCUUUUUUUACCUAAACUAAGCCUAUCAUUGGUUCAAGACAUAAGAUGAAUCUUAGAUUCAUGAUUGAUAGUGCUUAAUGAAAAUUCAA